GACGAACGCUGGCGGCGUGCUUAACACAUGCAAGUCGAACGGAAAGGCCCUGCUUUUGUGGGGUGCUCGAGUGGCGAACGGGUGAGUAACACGUGAGUAACCUGCCCUUGACUUUGGGAUAACUUCAGGAAACUGGGGCUAAUACCGGAUAGGAGCUCCUGCUGCAUGGUGGGGGUUGGAAAGUUUCGGCGGUUGGGGAUGGACUCGCGGCUUAUCAGCUUGUUGGUGGGGUAGUGGCUUACCAAGGCUUUGACGUGUAGCCGGCCUGAGAGGGUGACCGGCCACAUUGGGACUGAGAUACGGCCCAGACUCCUACGGGAGGCAGCAGUGGGGAAUAUUGCACAAUGGGCGGAGGCCUGAUGCAGCAACGCCGCGUGCGGGAUGACGGCCUUCGGGUUGUAAACCGCUUUCGCCUGUGACGAAGCGUGAGUGACGGUAAUGGGUAAAGAAGCACCGGCUAACUACGUG
rnacentral:rRNA from 1 species